GAUGAACGCUGGCGGCGUGCCUAAUACAUGCAAGUCGAACGAAGAUCUAGCUUGCUAGAUCUUAGUGGCGAACGGGUGAGUAAUACAUAAAUAAUCUGCCCAUAUGACUGGGAUAACUAUUGGAAACGAUAGCUAAUACCGGAUAGGUUGAUUGGAGGCAUCUCUGAUUAAUUAAAGUAGGAUUUCUACACAAAUGGAUGAGUUUAUGGAGCAUUAGUUAGUUGGUGGGGUAACGGCCUACCAAGACGAUGAUGCGUAGCCGACCUGAGAGGGUGACCGGCCACACUGGGACUGAGCCACGGCCCAGACUACUACGGGAGGCAGCAGUAGGGAAUUUUCGGCAAUGGGCGCAAGCCUGAACGAGCAACGCCGCGUGAGUGAUUAAGGCCUUCGGGUUGUAAAGCUCUGUUGUAAGGGAAGAACAUUCAGGAUAGGAAAUGAUCUUGAACUGACGGUACCUUACCAGAAAGCCACGGCUAACUACGUGCCAGCCGCCGCGGUAA
rnacentral:rRNA from 1 species